rnacentral:rRNA from 1 species
AUUGAACGCUGGCGGCAGGCCUAACACAUGCAAGUCGAGCGAGCGUCGGACGGGUGAGUAAUGUCUGGGGACUGCCAGAUAGAGGGGGAUAACUACUGGAAACGGUAGCUACUCCCGCAUACUAAGCGAUAACCCAUAUGGGCUUAGCUAGUAGGUGAGGUAAUGGCUCACCUAGGCGACGAUCCCUAGCUGGUCUGAGAGGAUGAUCAGACAUACGGGGACGGAUACACGGACCAGACUCCUACGGAGGCAGCAGUGGGGAAUAUUGCACAAUGGGCGAAAGCGUGAUGCAGUAAAGCCGCGUGUAUGAAGAAAGCCUGAGGGUUCUAAAGUACAAUCAGUCGAGAAGCGUUACCGACAGAAGGAGCACCGGCUAACUUCGUGCGAGCAGCGGAGGUAAUAC